AAUUCACCAGUCCCUGAAAAUGCUCUGCUGUAGCCGCACCCGUGCACAAUCAUGCACCAGCUGAGCAACCACCUCCAGCUUCAUCUCCUCCAACUCAUCGGUCUCUAUGGUAGCAUAAGGAAUUGAUAGAACAUUACCAAAAUAAUUCUCCAUAGAAUCCAACCUCGACCGGCCAUUAACCAUAAUGCCCAUGCUGCACGCCCGCGCUCCGGUGGUCUCUCGCGCUCCCUUGGCAGUAAUCCUCCAAAGGUACGCAGCGAAGGCCCCAGCUUGCUCCUCCUCUGUCCUCCAAAAGAGCUUGCAUCUUUUUGUAUACGUUCUAUAUCAUCAGCUUUGAUGUAGUAUAUGCGGUUGACGAAUUCCUCAGUCGCUGGGGUCGGCGGAGGGUUCUUGGUUGGCAGGGGCACGAAGAGGUGGCUGAGUAAUGGGUCAUGAUCACAUAGG
rnacentral:misc_RNA from 1 species